rnacentral:ncRNA from 1 species
CUAAAAACUGUGAAUGGAAGAGUAAAUAUAGAAUGUAGUCAAAGCGAGCUGGAGAUGGUGAGAGUCCAGUAUGAAGUCUAUGUUGAAGAACAUCCAGGAGUUGCUAACCGAAAUUUAAAUUUAGUAGGCUUAGCCGGUAUCAAUCCGUUACCAAAUUGAACUGUAUCGAAUAAUCUGUACAGAUGAGAGAACUUAAAUUUUAAGUUAAUCAGGGUGGCACCGCGGAAGUAUAACCUUUCGUCCCUAUA